rfam:Knoellia aerolata DSM 18566 contig169, whole genome shotgun sequence.
CUCGUUCUUCGCGCGGGAGCUCGACCCGCGACUGCCGUGGUGAUCGCGUUCAUCACCGAUCACCGGGACCGGUUCGGGGUCGAGCCGAUCUGCUCCGUGCUCACCGAGCACGGCGUGAAGAUCGCCCCG